rnacentral:rRNA from 1 species
UACGUAGGGGGCGAGCGUUGUCCGGAUUCAUUGGGCGUAAAGAGCUCGUAGGCGGCUCAGCAAGUCGGGUGUGAAACCUCCAGGCUCAACCUGGAGACGCCACUCGAUACUGCUGUGGCUAGAGUCCAGUAGGGGAGCGUGGAAUUCCUGGUGUAGCGGUGAAAUGCGCAGAUAUCAGGGGGAACACCAGCGGCGAAGGCGGCGCUCUGGGCUGGAACUGACGCUGAGGAGCGAAAGCGUGGGGAGCAAACAGG